GUUGUAUAGUCAAGUAAUUAAGUGCAUGUGGUGGAUGCUUGGCAGUCAGAGGCGAAGAAAGACGUGAUAGCCUGCGAAAAGCUCCGGGGAGGCGGCAAAUAUCCUGUGAUCCGGAGAUGUCUGAAUGGGGAAACCCACUUACCAUAAGGUAGGUAUUGCAACAUGAAUACAUAGUGUUGCAAGGCGAACGAGGGGAAGUGAAACAUCUCAGUACCCUUAGGAAAAGAAAUCAAUUGAGAUUCCCUCAGUAGCGGCGAGCGAAAGGGGAAGAGCCCAUUAAGUCAUAUAAGUUCUAGUGGAACGCUCUGGGAAGUGCGACCGUAGACGGUGAUAGUCCUGUACACGAAAGGCUUAUAUGAUGAUGUCGAGUAGGGCGAGGCACGUGAAACCUUGUCUGAAUAUGGGGGGACCAUCCUCCAAGGCUAAAUACUCCUGACUGACCGAUAGUGAACCAGUACCGUGAGGGAAAGGCGAAAAGAACCCCUGUGAGGGGAGUGAAAUAGAUCCUGAAACC
rnacentral:rRNA from 1 species